UACGAAAGGUGCGAGCGUUAAUCGGAAUUACUGGGCGUAAAGGGCGCGUAGGCGGCGCGUUGAGUCGGAUGUGAAAGCCCCGGGCUUAACCUGGGAAUGGCAUCCGAUACUGGCGUGCUAGAGUGCAGUAGAGGGAGGUGGAAUUCCAGGUGUAGCGGUGAAAUGCGUAGAGAUCUGGAGGAACACCAGUGGCGAAGGCGGCCUCCUGGACUGACACUGACGCUGAGGCGCGAAAGCGUGGGUAGCAAACAGG
rnacentral:misc_RNA from 1 species